UACGGAGGGUGCGAGCGUUGUUCGGAAUCACUGGGCGUAAAGGGCGUGUAGGCGGUCCGCUAAGUCUGAUGUGAAAGCCCGGAGCUCACCCCCGGAAGUGCAUUGGAAACUGGCGGACUCGAGUCCCGGAGAGGAGAGUGGAAUUCCUGGUGUAGCGGUGAAAUGCGUAGAUAUCAGGAGGAACACCGGUGGCGAAGGCGGCUCUCUGGACGGUGACUGACGCUGAGACGCGAAAGCGUGGGGAGCAAACAGG
rnacentral:rRNA from 1 species